UUGGUACCACAAGUUGCUUUGGCAUUAUGUCAUUGCUGUCUAAGCCCUCCUGGCCUCAGGACCAAGGACAUGGCUAUCAUGGCACGUUUGUAUUUUUUUUAUAUAUUACUUUGAUCCAAGGAUGAAAUCAAAUCAUAAAAUUUGAACAAGAAUGGUGCCCCAUAGUUGACUUGAACCCAUUUUUAUUAAAAAGAAAAACCUAAUUGACUUAAGUCUCAUGAUGAAGCCACUGAUUGGCUGCUUACAUUAUCACUGAGAUUGCAAACAAUUUUUUCUUUUCUUUUUUGGGUUGAGUAGAAUUAGCUGCUGAGAAUGGAAGUAAAUGCAUCCAGCGGGCAAAAUAUCUCAAACCUCUAGAAGUUGUAGAUCA
rnacentral:lncRNA from 1 species